rnacentral:lncRNA from 1 species
GUAGAACAAAAUUUUAAAAUAGACAACACUGUGUCAAUCAUUGCAUUGAAUAUCUAUUUUGGAUAUGACAGGUGUGCCUGUAGAUGGGACUCUGAAAACUUCAUCAACUACAGCAUGUGUUGGCGCUGCAGAGUUAGAGAACAAGGAUGAAGGAAAUUUCACACUUGAGAAAGCAAAAGAGAUGGAAGCAGCAACAGAUAGUAUGUGGUCAAAGUUUACCAACAUUUUUUUACUUUAGUCAAAUAAAUAUUGACCCUAGAAAAUAAAAUAAAAGAAAUAUUAUGGUUCCAAUUAAAAGCUGAUUACUUUUCAUAUCACCCCAAAAAUCGAUUUUUCACUCAGAAAUGGCCUCCAGAAUUUUUGCCAUUAUUAAAUUGAAUAACUUGCAUUUAAAGAUCCCGAUAAAAAGACCCGCAUUAAAAGUAAAUAAUGUAUGAUAUUAUGUUUAAAUUAUUAAUUUAACUUUGAUCUUAUUAGUAGCUUGAAAUGCCAGUAAAAAUUUUAGUUUUUCCAGACAUGAUGUUUAUUGGAAUGACUACUAAGCAGCUACUUUAGUUAACUUUGCACGGGUGAUAUCAAAGAAAUAUCUCAAUUGUUAAUGAUAGGUCCACCUGAGAAUAAAGACCUGCCUGCAGUGUCCACUUCUGAAUUUGUCAAAGGUCACACUGACGAAAUCUCAAAGCAACAAACACAUAAAAAUGAUGAAACAUCAGUUAUUGACACUGAGAAGAACAGCACAGAACCUGAGGAUGAUGAGAAAUUAUAUAAAGAAGCGAAAGAAAUUGAAGCAGCAAUGAAAACACAGUUAUUAAACACUGAAACAGAAAGUAUGUGCUCAAACUUCACUAAUUUCUGUUACUUUGUAUUCAGUUUAACUUUAACCCAAGAAACUGGGGGCUUCUAUCUCAAAAUAAUUUCUAUUACUUUGUAUUCAGUUUAAUUCAAAUGCUUUAGCUUUUGAAACAUCUCAAAUGCAUAAUGACAGGUCUACUAAAGGAAGAAGUCCAGCCAAGAUUGCCCACACCUGAUAUUGUCCACCAAAAC